rnacentral:rRNA from 1 species
AUUGAACGCUGGCGGCAGGCCUAACACAUGCAAGUCGAACGGUAACAGGAAGCAGCUUGCUGCUUCGCUGACGAGUGGCGGACGGGUGAGUAAUGUCUGGGAAGCUGCCUGAUGGAGGGGGAUAACUACUGGAAACGGUAGCUAAUACCGCAUAACGUCGCAAGACCAAAGAGGGGGACCUUAGGGCCUCUUGCCAUCGGAUGUGCCCAGAUGGGAUUAGCUAGUAGGUGGGGUAACGGCUCACCUAGGCGACGAUCCCUAGCUGGUCUGAGAGGAUGACCAGCCACACUGGAACUGAGACACGGUCCAGACUCCUACGGGAGGCAGCAGUGGGGAAUAUUGCACAAUGGGCGCAAGCCUGAUGCAGCCAUGCCGCGUGUAUGAAGAAGGCCUUCGGGUUGUAAAGUACUUUCAGCGGGGAGGAAGGGAGUAAAGUUAAUACCUUUGCUCAUUGACGUUACCCGCAGAAGAAGCGCCGGCUAACUCCGUG